CCUACGGGGGGCAGCAGUGAGGAAUAUUGGUCAAUGGACGAGAGUCUGAACCAGCCAAGUAGCGUGAAGGAUGACUGCCCUAUGGGUUGUAAACUUCUUUUAUAUGGGAAUAAAACGUUCCACGUGUGGGAUUUUGUAUGUACCAUAUGAAUAAGGAUCGGCUAACUCCGUGCCAGCAGCCGCGGUAAUACGGAGGAUCCGAGCGUUAUCCGGUUUUAUUGGGUUUAAAGGGAGCGUAGGUGGAUUGUUAAGUCAGUUGUGAAAGUUUGCGGCUCAACCGUAAAAUUGCAGUUGAAACUGGCAGUCUUGAGUACAGUAGAGGUGGGCGGAAUUCGUGGUGUAGCGGUGAAAUGCUUAGAUAUCACGAAGAACUCCGAUUGCGAAGGCAGUUCACUGGACUGCAACUGACACUGAGGCUCGAAAGUGUGGGUAUCAAACAGGAUUAGAUACCCUAGUAGUC
rnacentral:rRNA from 1 species